GACGAACGCUGGCGGCGUGCCUAAUACAUGCAAGUAGAACGCUGAAGAGAGGAGCUUGCUCUUCUUGGAUGAGUUGCGAACGGGUGAGUAACGCGUAGGUAACCUGCCUUGUAGCGGGGGAUAACUAUUGGAAACGAUAGCUAAUACCGCAUAACAAUUGAUGACACAUGUCAUUUAUUUGAAAGGGGCAAUUGCUCCACUACAAGAUGGACCUGCGUUGUAUUAGCUAGUAGGUGAGGUAAUGGCUCACCUAGGCGACGAUACAUAGCCGACCUGAGAGGGGGGACGGCCACAAUGGGAACGAGACAAGGGCCAGAAUCCUAACGGAGGCAGCCGUAGGGGAUCUUCGGCAAAGGGGGCAACCCUGAACGAGCAACGCCGCGUGAGUGAAGAAGGUUUUCGGAUCGUAAAGCUCUGUUGUAAGUCAAGAACGGGUGUGAGAGUGGAAAGUUCACACUGUGACGGUAGCUGACCAGAAAGGGACGGCUAACUACGUG
rnacentral:rRNA from 1 species